rnacentral:rRNA from 1 species
GACGAACGCUGGCGGCGUGCCUAAUACAUGCAAGUCGAACGCUGAAGAGAGGAGCUUGCUCUUCUUGGAUGAGUUGCGAACGGGUGAGUAACGCGUAGGUAACCUGCCUUGUAGCGGGGGAUAACUAUUGGAAACGAUAGCUAAUACCGCAUAACAAUGGAUGACCCAUGUCAUUUAUUUGAAAGGGGCAAAUGCUCCACUACAAGAUGGACCUGCGUUGUAUUAGCUAGUAGGUGAGGUAACGGCUCACCUAGGCGACGAUACAUAGCCGACCUGAGAGGGUGAUCGGCCACACUGGGACUGAGACACGGCCCAGACUCCUACGGGAGGCAGCAGUAGGGAAUCUUCGGCAAUGGGGGCAACCCUGACCGAGCAACGCCGCGUGAGUGAAGAAGGUUUUCGGGUCGUAAAGCUCUGUUGUAAGUCAAGAACGAGUGUGAGAGUGGAAAGUUCACAGUGUGACGGUAGCUUAUCAGAAAGGGACGGCUAACUACGUG